GAUUAGAGUUUGAUCAUGGCUCAGAUUGAACGCUGGCGGUAGGCUUAACACAUGCAAGUCGUGCGAGAAAGUAUCUUCGGAUAUGAGUAGAGCGGCGGACGGGUGAGUAACGCGUAGGAAUCUACCUAGUAGAAGGGGAUAGCCCGGGGAAACUCGGAUUAAUACCGUAUACCUCCUUCGGGAGAAAGAAGGCCUCUCUUUGAAGCUUUCGCUAUUAGAUGAGCCUGCGUAAGAUUAGCUUGUUGGUGAGGUAAAGGCUCACCAAGGCGACGAUCUUUAGCGGGUCUGAGAGGACGAUCCGCCACAUUGGGACUGAGACACGGCCCAGACUCCUACGGGAGGCAGCAGUGGGGAAUAUUGGACAAUGGGCGCAAGCCUGAUCCAGCCAUACCGCGUGUGUGAAGAAGGCCCUAGGGUUGUAAAGCACUUUAAGUUGGGAAGAAAAGUUAUUGGUUAAUACCCACUAACCGUGACAUUACCAUCAGAAUAAGGACCGGCUAAUUCCGUGCCAGCAGCCGCGGUAAUACGGAAGGUCCAAGCGUUAAUCGGAAUUACUGGGCGUAAAGCGCGCGUAGGUGGUUUAUUAAGUUGGAUGUGAAAUCCCCGGGCUCAACCUGGGAACUGCAUCCAAAACUGAUUCACUAGAGUACGAUAGAGGGAGGUAGAAUUCACAGUGUAGCGGUGGAAUGCGUAGAUAUUGUGAAGAAUACCAAUGGCGAAGGCAGCCUCCUGGAUCUGUACUGACACUGAGGUGCGAAAGCGUGGGUAGCGAACAGGAUUAGAUACCCUGGUAGUCCACGCCGUAAACGAUGUCAACUAGCUGUUGGAGAACUAUGUUCUUCAGUGGCGCAGCUAACGUAGUAAGUUGACCGCCUGGGGAGUACGGCCGCAAGGCUAAAACUCAAAUGAAUUGACGGGGACCCGCACAAGCGGUGGAGCAUGUGGUUUAAUUCGAUGCAACGCGAAAAACCUUACCUAUACUUGACAUACUUGGAAUGCUUUGUAAUGAAGCAGUGCCUUCGGGAGCCAAGAUACAGGUGCUGCAUGGCUGUCGUCAGCUCGUGUCGUGAGAUGUUCCGUUAAGUCGGAUAACGAGCGCAACCCUUACCCUUAUUUGCCAGCGAUUCGGUCGGGAACUAUAAGGGGACUGCCGGUGAUAAACCGGAGGAAGGUGAGGACGACGUCAAGUCAUCAUGGCCCUUACGUAUAGGGCUACACACGUGCUACAAUGGAGAAUACAGACGGACGCUAAGCCGCGAGGUGGUGCUAAUCCUAGAAAAUUCUUCGUAGUCCGGAUUGGAGUCUGCAACUCGACUCCAUGAAGUCGGAAUCGCUAGUAAUCGCGAAUCAGCAUGUCGCGGUGAAUACGUUCUCGGGUCUUGUACACACCGCCCGUCAUACCAUGGAAGUGGAUUGCACCAGAAGUAGAUAGUCUAACCUUCGGGAGGGCGUUUACCACGGUGUGCUUCAUGACUGGGGUAAAGUCGUAACAAGGUACC
rnacentral:rRNA from 1 species